rnacentral:rRNA from 1 species
GACCUCAGGUCAGGCGGGGCUACCCGCUGAGUUUAAGCAUAUCCAAUAAGAGGAGGAAAAAGAAACUAACAAGGAUUUCCAUUAGUAACGGCGGAGCGAAACCGGGAAAGGGAAGGAACAGCCCCACCAUGAGAACUCGGUCUCGCCCUGGCGUUCGAAUUGUAG